UACGUAGGUGGCAAGCGUUGUCCGGAUUUACUGGGCGUAAAGAGCGCGCAGGCGGUCGAUCAAGUCGAGUGUGAAAGCCCCCGGCUCAACUGGGGAGGGUCAUUCGAUACUGAUCGACUCGAAGGCAGGAGAGGGUAGUGGAAUUCCCGGUGUAGUGGUGAAAUGCGUAGAUAUCAGGAAGAACACCCGUGGCGAAGGCGGUUCUCUGGGACGGUACUGACGCUGAGACGCGAAAGCGUGGGGAGCGAACAGG
rnacentral:rRNA from 1 species